GGCGCGGUAGCAAAGUGGUUACUGCGAUUGACUAGAACUCUAAGGGCGCAGGUUCGAAUCCUGCCCGCGUCG
rnacentral:tRNA from 1 species